AUAUUUUGAUAAAGAUAUUUUAUUAACUUUGGUUUUUAUCACAGAAAUAUAAAGAAAUACAUUGUAAUGUAACAAUUGACAUGGACGGAUCUCUUCUUAGUAUUCUACACUAUUUAUAAUGGGAGUAGCAUAUCAGAUCUGAGCAUUGUCAAAAUAUACAGAGAUUUAAACUUGCUGUGGACAGUGUAGAAUAAUCUAAGCAAACGUUUUGGCAAUUACUAUGUACAAUUAAAGUUUAAACAAAAUAUUUACAAGUGAGACAAAUUAAGCUCAAAUGAUGUUUACACAAUGCAAUGACAAUAUUGUAAGCUUCAUUGGUAAAUGGGUAAAGUGAGAAGUAUUAUAGCUGCCUGUUAGGUGUACAAGAAUCACACUUCAGUUCAAAAUAAAUCCCUGCAUCCAAUCCAGUCUGGCCACCACAUCACUUAGUAAACAACAAAAGUACAUCAAAUAUUCAAAUCCUUACAAAAGCGUUUCAACAGUAAUGUCUUCAGAAAAUGACCGGUGUGGUGAACAGCAUUCAUGAAAUGCUUCUUCAAUGUGUAAGAGAGAAUCCAUGUAGCUUUAGGACAUCUAACUUGCUAUAUGAGCAAAGUCUUUUAAUAUUUUUUCACCCUCAAACGCCUGAUUUCAACUUCAACUAUUUUGUAGCAUUCAUCCAGCCACAUUAUGUAAUAUUUCCCUUGUUAAUAUUAGGCAGGAUACGCUAUGUACUUGUAAACAGUACACUCUGACUUUUUAAUAUGUAAUUUUAUGGAACUAGUCAAUUGUAAAUUAUAAUAUUUGUACACAUUAAAUGUAUGUAUAAAACUUGUAUCUUUUUCUAUAUUACAAAUACACUCUACAACCCUUAAUAGAGCCAUAAUAUAUGAGUUAGGAAUCUCUGUUAUAUUUGUAAAGUAUACAUUUUUUAACAGCAAUUAUUCAAUAUCUGUACUUUCAUACAAAAAUGAUGCUAGACAAAACCAAGAGGUCUGCCCAGACUGAUUAUUCACUAUUUCAUAAAUGUAAAGAUAAUAAAAAUAUAUUGAUGAACUAUAUACAAGUAUAUAUUUUUUUGUUCAGAAGAUUAUAUUAAUGAAUUUAGUAUUCACUACACAUGCAUAGUGUGUGAAAUAAAUCCAACUGUUGUCUCUGAAAACUGUCCAAAACUGUUGUACUUGAACUAAGCAUGGGUAACACAAUAGUGAAGAUCAUAAGACUGUACAUGUUCUGGA